CGGCGUCCGGGCGCCCUGCAUGGAUUCCCCACCCCAGGUCCUGCUCCCCGGCGGCGGCCGGUGGGCAGAAAGACCGAAACCCACUCACGGCCGCCUGCCGAAUCGCGGCUCUGCUGUUUGUGGGGCGUGCUAGAAACGUGGUCCUAAAAAGAAUGGCGCCAUUUACAUAAUGCUUUGUUUGCGUUUCGCAAGUUUCUUUCGGUUAAAGCCACAGAAACCCCACCUCCUGCCCUUGUGUCGUUUCCACCGCGGCACCCUUUUCCGACAUUAGAAACAAUAGUGUACGCCUGUGGAGGCCUCGUUUGUUCAGGGGCUGCCGGCCAGGGCUUCAGGACGUUUCUGCGGCUUUCUCCGCGCGGCCUGGGCUCCCGCGGCUGCUUUUCGGGCCCAUGGGCGCAGCCACCGCGCCAGGCUCAAGGGGGGCGGCCCCGUCAGGGCCCGCCAUCUUGGAAGGCCUUUUCUGCCGGUUCCUCCCGCUGAGGAAGUGUGGCUCAAGACGCUGGCCUACGAGUUGUGAUUUCUGCCCUUUUCCCUUCCUCCUUGGGCUAAGCCAGACCAGAAAGGGCCCCGUGCGCAACGUGCUUCACAAUCCCUCAGGGAAAGCGGCUAACGUGGCGCUACUCCGCCUCCCCUGUUCCUUACUCUUGGGGCGGCCGCCAUGUUUCCUGAACACAAAAUGGCGACACGUGAGGAAGACAAACAUAAAGAUGAAGUGCUUAAUUCAAGGUCACACAAUGUCGGGGAUGGACCUCCAGAUUUCCUUACUGACCUGCAUUAUCUUGUGGAUACCUGAGUGAAUUCCACACCACCCAUUUUAUAGAUGAAACCACUGAGACAUGGAGCAACUGACUGAGUAGUCACUGCCCCACCCCUGCCUGGAGCCUUACACAUGACUCGUCUCCUCUCAGUGACCACAGGUUGGUUGAGGGGUUUAACAAGGCUAAGAAGGUACUUAUCCUGUAUGACAUGAAGGAAAUGAAAUAAAAAUACUGCAACCCCACUCCCAGCUACUCAGUGAGGUGGUAGCUAGGAAAACAAGCUCAGGGCUCCCACUGAUUGUACAUUAUGGUGAGACGUGGUCUUGUAACACAGUGGUUAAGAAUGUGACUUUGGAGCCAGCCUGCUAGGGGCUGAAUUCUGACUCAGCCAUUUACUAACUGUGUGACCUUAGGGAGGAGGACCUGGUUGAUAGAAGAAUUUAUCUCGUAGUCUUAACAUCCACUGUAAUUCCAAACUUUGAGGACGAUAGAGAUCAGUGGGCUUUGACUGUCCAGCAUGGAGUCUCCAUUCUUAGGUGAGUUCCCAAGCCUGUAAAAUGUAAGCCUUAUGCUGCUGAGGGCCAUCUUGCCACCCUGAGGGGAACGCUGCCUGAGAAUGAAACCAGCAUAAGUAAAAGCUGAGCUGUGAGAUGGAGCGAGAUGAAGGCCACAUGACAUCUUUGGAGCACCUGGAUCUAACUGUGCCUUAAGCUAGUCUAACCCUGAACAUUUCAUUGACAUGGGCCCAGGUUUUCCCUUUUUUUUUGGAUGGAGUCUUGCUCUGUCGCCCAGGCUGGAGUGCAGUAGCUCAAUCUCGGCUCACUGCAAGCUCCACCUCCCGGGUUCAUGCCAUUCUCCUGCCUUAGCCUCCCAAGUAGCUGGGACAACAGGCGCCCACCACCACUCCCAGCUAAUUUUUUUAUUUUUAGUAGAGACGGGGUUUUACCGUGUUAGCCGGGAUGGUCUUGAUCUCCUGAACUCAUGAUCCGCCCACCUCAGCCUCCCAAAGUGCUGGGAUUACAGGCGUGAGCCACUGCACCCAGCCCUCAGGUUUUCCCUUUUUUUACCCCUCCUUUUGAAAAUUUGAUUUGUAAUUUUGCCACCUGCAGCCAGAAGAGUUUUAACUAAUCAGUGCCAUAAAUUUUAUAUAGUUCUCCUUGCAAAAUGUGGAUCAGCCUUUCUCAGCAAAUCCUUUGUCUUAAAGUGCUGAAUUGUAAGUUUGUCAUGAGAAUCACAUGAGAUCAUGCAUGUGAAGAACCUGGCAUUAUCCUCCUCAUAGAAAAAAACCAGUAAAUAUUAACUACAGGAAGCAAGGAAGGAGUGGGGUGAGGGGAAGAAGAAGGGGUACUGAUUUAAAAGAACCCUGGAGUCCUAAGGAUAAUCUAGGAACCCUCAGACCCAAUCCGAUACCCCUAUUCUAAAUGCUCCUAGUGCCCUGUACCUUUCCCUCAUAAGCCUUCAUUAUCAUUGUAAUGAUAUGUUUAUGUAAUAUUUUGAUUAAUGUCUCUCUCCUUCACUGACCUAGCAGUUCUAGCAGGGCAGUGAUUUUGCUGUGUUGCAUCCCCAGCACCUAGUCUGGUAUGUCGCAUUCAGCAUACGUUUAUUGAAUGAAUGGCCAUGUGGUUAUUCGGAUCCUCCUUGAUUAUUGGGGUUAGGAUUGUGGCAGAAGUGGCAAAAUCAGGGAGAGUAGUCCCUGUCCCCUCUGUAUCUUAUACACUGCCCACACUCCCAACACACAUACACAUACAGAGAAUUUUGUCUCAAUUAGAUAAUUAACUUCUACUUGGUUGUAAACCAAACCACUGGUUCUUAAACUUUCAUUGGAUCAUUUUAUUGAAGAAUUAAAUAGUGUGGCUCUGGCCUAAUGUCUGGAAAGCCUUGCAGAGGAGUGGGUUAGGUCUUUGUGAUAAACAGGCAGCCUUCCCUGCUCCUGUGUCUUUAUAAAAUCUCCUAUUUAACUGGAGUAGUCCACCCUCCCUCAGACUCUUAUAGGAAUAUGUUGGAGGCUGUAGGAAGGUGGGAAACCGAGAGGGAAAGGACUGGGCCGCUGGAGACUUCACUCACUCCCUAGCAAGAAACAAAAGCAGUAAAAGGUGGCCCGAGGACAACCUGAAGCUCACUCCUUCAGCACUUUUGGCUGGAGCUCACUUGUUGGAGCCCCACUCAGAGCUCAGCACACCACCCCACCAGCAGCCUCCUCCUCCCAGCUGAGGGUGCAUUUCAUCCCUUCCCCCAGCCUGCUUUCCCUGAGAUAGGGGAGUGUUUCCCAGGGCCCAUGUGACUUCCACUGGCAAGUGACGAUUACCAAUGGUUUACUAGUCAGUGAAACUACCAAAGGCUUUUGUGCUGUAGUAAUCCUUUUCCUGUUUAAAACUCUGGGGAUUUUCUAAUGUUGCCAAUAGUUUUUGAAGUCAGCAAUUACUGUGUGGAUUAUGUAAUGGCUCGGUAUUAAAAAUAGAAAAGACUGGA